GCAAGUCGAGCGCAUUGAAGGGAGCUUGCUCCCGGAUGUGAGCGGCGGAUGGGUGAGUAACACGUGGGUAACCUGCCUGUCAGAUUGGGAUAACUAUGGGAAACCGUAGCUAAUACCGAAUGAUCCCCUGCACCACAUGGUGCAGGGUUGAAAGAUGGUUUCGGCCAUCACUGACAGAUGGGCCCGCGGUGCAUUAGUUAGUUGGCGGGGUAAUGGCCCACCAAGACUGCGAUGCAUAGCCGACCUGAGAGGGUGAUCGGCCACAUUGGGACUGAGACACGGCCCAAACUCCUACGGGAGGCAGCAGUAGGGAAUCUUCCACAAUGGGGGAAACCCUGAUGCAGCAACGCCGCGUGAGUGAUGAAGGCCUUCGGGUUGUAAAGCUCUGUCUUUGGGGACGAUAAUGACGGUACCCAAGGAGGAAGCCACGGCUAACUACGUGCCAGCAGCCGCGGUAAUACGUAGGUGGCAAGCGUUGUCCGGAUUUACUGGGCGUAAAGGGAGCGUAGGCGGACUUUUAAGUGGGAUGUGAAAUACUCGGGCUCAACCUGAGUGCUGCAUUCCAAACUGGAAGUCUAGAGUGCAGGAGGGGAAAGUGGAAUUCCUAGUGUAGCGGUGAAAUGCGUAGAUAUUAGGAAGAACACCGGUGGCGAAGGCGACUUUCUGGACUGUAACUGACGCUGAGGCUCGAAAGCGUGGGGAGCGAACAGGAUUAGAUACCCUGGUAGUCCACGCCGUAAACGAUGAAUACUAGGUGUAGGGGUUGUCAUGACCUCUGUGC
rnacentral:rRNA from 1 species